GAUGAACGCUGGCGACGUGCCUAAUACAUGCAAGUCGAGCGAACAGACGAGGAGCUUGCUCCUCUGACGUUAGCGGCGGACGGGUGAGUAACACGUGGAUAACCUACCUAUAAGACUGGGAUAACUUCGGGAAACCGGAGCUAAUACCGGAUAAUAUAUUGAACCGCAUGGUUCAAUAGUGAAAGACGGUUUUGCUGUCACUUAUAGAUGGAUCCGCGCCGCAUUAGCUAGUUGGUAAGGUAACGGCUUACCAAGGCAACGAUGCGUAGCCGACCUGAGAGGGUGAUCGGCCACACUGGAACUGGGAAACGGUCCAGACUCCUACGGGAGGCAGCAGGAGGGAAUCUUCCGCAAUGGGCGAAAGCUUGACGGAGCAACGACGCGUGAGUGAUGAAGGUCUUCGGAUGGUAAAACUCUGUUAUUGGGGAGGAACAAAUGUGUAAGUAACUAUGCACGUCUUGACGGUACCUAAUCAGAAAGCCACGGCAAACUACGG
rnacentral:rRNA from 1 species